UGACGGUAUCAUAUGAAUAAGCACCGGCUAACUCCGUGCCAGCAGCCGCGGUAAUACGGGGGGUGCAAGCGUUACUCGGAAUCACUGGGCGUAAAGAGCAUGUAGGCGGGUGAAUAAGUUGGAAGUGAAAUCCUAUAGCUUAACUAUAGAACUGCUUCCAAAACUGUUCACCUAGAGUAUGGGAGAGGUAGAUGGAAUUUCUGGUGUAGGGGGUAAAAUCCGUAGAGAUCAGAAGGAAUACCGAUUGCGAAGGCGAUCUACUGGAACAUUACUGACGCUCAGAUGCGAAAGCGUGGGGAGCAAACAGGAUUAGAUACCCUGGUAGUCCACGCCCUAAACGAUGUACACUAGUUGUUGCUAUACUAGAUAUGGCAGUAAUGCAGUUAACACUUUAAGUGUACCGCCUGGGGGAGUACGGUCGCAAGAUUAAAACUCAAAGGAAUAGACGGGGACCCGCACAAGCGGUGGAGCAUGGUGGUUUAAUUCGACGAUACGCGAAAAACCUUACCUGGCCUUGACAUAGUAGGAAUCUUUAAAAGAUUAGAGAGUGCUAGCUUGCUAGAACCUACAUACAGGUGCUGCACGGCUGUCGUCAGC
rnacentral:rRNA from 1 species